GACGAACGCUGGCGGCGUGCUUAACACAUGCAAGUCGAACGCUGAAGCUCAGCUUUUGUUGGGUGGAUGAGUGGCGAACGGGUGAGUAACACGUGAGUAACCUGCCCUCUUCUUUGGGAUAACGCCCGGAAACGGGUGCUAAUACUGGAUAUUCACUGGUCUUCGCAUGGGGGUUGGUGGAAAGGGUUUUUCUUGUGGGGGAUGGGCUCGCGGCCUUUCAGCUUGUUGGUGGGGUGAUGGCCUACCAAGUCUUUGACGGGUAGCCGGCCUGAGAGGGUGACCGGUCACAUUGGGACUGAGAUACGGCCUAGAAUCCGACGGGGGGCAGCAGUGGGGAAAAUUGCACAAUGGGCGCAAGACUGAUGCAGCAACGGCGCGUGAGGGAUGGAGGCCUUCGGGUUGUGAACCUCGUUGGCUCAUGGUCAAGCCUCAAACAUGGUUGUGGUGAGGGUAGUGGGUAAAGAAGCGCCGGCUAACUACGUG
rnacentral:rRNA from 1 species